ensembl:lncRNA
UUUUUUUUUGCAGUUGUGUGUUUAUUGCUGUGCUAUUCACACUAGCAAAGACGUGGAAUCAACCCAGGUACCCAGCAAUGGUAGACUGGAUAAAGAAAAUGUGGUACAUAUACACCCCGGAAUACUAUACAGCCACAAAAAAGAAUAGAAUCAUGUCCUUUGCAGCAACAUGAAUGGAGCUGGAGGCGAUAACCCUAAGCAAAUUCAUGCAGGAACAGAAAGCAGUUACAUACACCAUGUUUUCACUUAUAAGUGGGAGGUAAACACUGAACACACAUAGACAUAAAUAUGGGAACAGUAGAGACUGUGGACUCUGAGAGGGUAGCAGGGGGUGGGUUCAAAAACUACCUGUCGAUGGCUAUACUCACUAUCAGGGUGAUGGGAUUGCAAUAUUCCCAUGUGACAAAUCUGCACAUGUACCCUCUUUAUCUAAAAUAAAAGUUUAAAUUUAAAAAACAAGUAUAGUGGAAAAAAUAACAUAAAUACACUUCCAAAUAUUUAAACAGGAAAAAAAAUUUGUAUCACAUGACAUAUAUGCAAUAAAUAACAACUAACGGAAAAAUAAAAUCAUAUUUAAAAUACUAGGUUGGCCACAUUUAAAAUAAAUUAAAUUUAUCUCUUAUUUAGACUCCUGUCACUCCAACAAGUGAAGUCAGCCAAAUGGACCAUGAUGAUUUCUCUCAGGGUAGUCCUGUGCGGCACUGAUGCUUCUGUGUUUCCUGCUGCUCGUGAACUAUUGAGACUCUGCCACCAUUCACUGAUUCACACAAUUUCUUUCCUUUUGCAGAUCCUUGCAUUCUUUAAUUUCAAUCACAAAUGUCAUCUCCUUUUCUUUUUGCUAUUAUUCAUCUUGAGAAAUUGCCAUAGUAUUUGUAUCAUAUUAAGAACCUAUUAAAUCUCUUUGGUCUCUUGUAGCUCAGAUUAGCAACUAUGAAGCUACUUAGUAAAAUCCUCUAUAGUCCUUAUUAUUUAAAGCAUAUAAUGGAGUUAACAAAAAAAAAGCUGCUUUUUAAAAAAAUUAUACUUUAAGUUCUAGGGUACAUGUGCACAAUGUGCAGGUUUGUUACAUAUGUAUGCAUGUACCACGUUGGUGUGCUGCACCCAUUAACUCGUCAUUUACAUUAGGUAUAUCUCCUAAUGCUAUCCCUCUCCCCUCCCCCCUCCCCACAAUAGGACCUGGUGUGUGAUGUUCCCCUUCCUGUGUCCAAGUGAUCUCAUUGUUCAGUUCCCACCUAUGAGUGAGAACAUGCGGUAUUUGGUUUUCUGUUCUUGCAAUAGUUUGCUGAGAAUGAUGGUCUCCAGCUGCAUCCAUGUCCCUACAAAGGACACGAACUCAUCCUUUUUUAUGGCUGCAUAGUAUUCCAUGGUGUAUAUGUGCCACAUUUUCUCAAUCCAGUCCAUCACUGAUGGACAUUUGGGUUGAGUCCAAGUCCUUGCUAUUGUGAAUAGUGCCACAGUAAACAUAUGUGUGCAUGUGUCUUUAUAGCAGCAUGACUUAUAAUCCUUUGGGUAUAUCCCCCAGUAAUGGGAUGGCUGGGUCAAAUGGUAUUUCUAGUUCUAGACCCUUGAGGAAUCGCCACACUGUUUUCCACAAUGGUUGAACUAGUUUACAGUCCCACCAACAGUAUAAAAGUGUUCCUAUUUCUCCACAUCCUCUCCAGCACCUGUUUCCUGAUUUUUUAAUGAUUGCCAUUCUAACUGGUGUGAAAUGGUAUCUCAUUGUGGUUUUGAUUUGCAUUUCUCUGAUGGCCAGUGAUGAUGAGCAUUUUUUCAUGUGUCUGUUGGCUGUAUGAAUGUCUUCUUUUGAGAAGUGUCUGUUCAUAUCCUUUGCCCACUUUUUGAUGGGGUUGUUUGUUUUUUUCUUGUAAAUUUGAUUGAGUUCUUUAUAGGUUCUGGAUAUUAGCCCUUUGUCAGAUGAGUAGGUUGCAAAAAUCUUUUCCCAUUCUAUAGGUUGCCUAUUCACUCUGAUGAUAGUUUCUUUUGCUGUACAGAAGUUCUUUAAUUAGAUCCCAUUUGUCAAUUUUGGCUUUUGUUGCUCUUGCUUUUGGUGUUUUAGACAUGAA